GACGAACGCUGGCGGCGUGCCUAAUACAUGCAAGUCGAGCGAAUCAAUAGGAGCUUGCUCCUGUUGGUUAGCGGCGGACGGGUGAGUAACACGUGGGCAACCUACCUGUAAGACUGGGAUAACUUCGGGAAACCGGAGCUAAUACCGGAUGACACAAAGGAACUCCUGUUCCUUUGUUGAAAGAUGGCUUCGGCUAUCACUUACAGAUGGGCCCGCGGCGCAUUAGCUAGUUGGUGAGGUAACGGCUAACCAAGGCGACGAUGCGUAGCCGACCUGGGAGGGUGAUCGGCCUCACUGGGACUGAUACACGGCCCAGACUCCUACGGGAGGCAGCAGUAGGGAAUCUUCCGCAAUGGACGAAAGUCUGACGGAGCAACGCCGCGUGAGCGAUGAAGGCCUUCGGGUCGUAAAGCUCUGUUGUUAGGGAGGAACAAGUGCUAGUUGAAUAAGCUGGCACCUUGACGGUACCUAACCAGAAAGCCACGGCUAACUACGUGCCAGCAGCCGCAGUAA
rnacentral:rRNA from 1 species